AUGGAGGACUUCGUGCUGAGCUACGUGGUGACCGGGCUGGCCUUCUGGUCGACGGCGUUCUUGGUGAUGCGGGCGCUGAUGCCGAAGCGGUCCUACGAGUUCUGCAACCGCGCCGUCUCCACCAUGCACGCCGUCGCCGCCGUCUGCAUGGCCUGCCUCUCCGUCCAGGAGUGGUCCUGCCCCGUCUGCCCCCUCAACGCCCCCUCCUCGCCGCGCCAGAUGAAGUCUCUGGCAGUGACGCUCUCGUACAUGAUCUACGACGCGGCGUGCUGCCACCUCAACGGCGACGUGCGGCUCGACAACACCGUGCACCACCUGGUGAGCAUCGUCGGCAUCGGCGCCGGCCUCGCCUACCAGAGGUGCGGCACGGAGAUGAUGGCGUGCAUGUUCAUCACGGAGAUCUCCAGCCCGCUGCUGCACCUCAGGGAGAUGCUCAAGGAGCUCGGCGUCAAGGACACGGACCUCAACCUCCUCGUCGAUAUUCUGUUUGCGGCGACCUUUUCGGUGGGACGGAUGGUUGGUGGACCGUACCUCACCUACGUCACCUUGACAACAGACUACCCCAUCCUCAUCAAGGCGAUGGCUGCGGGUUUGCAACUGGUGAGCGCCUACUGGUUCUUGAGGAUCCUCAGGAUGGUCAGGUACAAGCUCGGGAAGAAGAGGCCGGCGGCGGCGGCCAAGGUCACUGCCAAGUGA
rnacentral:rRNA from 1 species